UCGUACAACUGAGGUGCGAGGGCUGUCGCUGACCCAAAAGGUCGUGCACGCCCGAGUGCUCUCACACAUCCAUCUCACCCCUAUGUGCACCACCGCGUGGGUCCUCCUCUAAGGGGGGCUCGCGUUUUCACAUAAAACUGGAUACUGUAUAGAAUGUUUUCUUUUUUGUUUGCGGUCACACGCAAUCAAUA
rnacentral:misc_RNA from 1 species